rnacentral:misc_RNA from 1 species
GGUCUGGCCCAGCUCUCUGU